GGUGGGUUGGCCAUCACAAGGAAGCCUGGACAGGUCCCUUGUUUCAAAGGUAUGGCACAAGGUAACCUGUAAGCCAGGGCACCCAGACAAGUUCCCAUACAUAGAUCCUUGGUUACAGCUGGUUUUGGACCCCAUACCCUCCCACCAGUGGUUGAGAGAACAGCAACAUAAGUGGCUGGCAGAGGCAAGGAAAGACCAGCAGAGAGAGACAGAGGAGGAAAGAGACAGAAAAAGGGGCAAACAGAGAGAGAGGAAGAGACAGAGAGACAAAGAGGGAGUCAAGGAGAGAGAGAGAGAGAGAGGCAGAGAGGCAGGAAGAGACACAGGCAAAAGCAAAGUCAAAAAGAGAGAAAGUCAAAGAGAGAAAGAGAGAAAUAUACAAGUAGUUAAAAAAAAAACAGUGUACCCUAUUCCUUUAAAAGCCAAGGUAAAUUUAAAACCUAUAAUUGAUAAUUAAAGGUAUUCUCCAUGACCCUGUAACACUCUAAUACCACUUUGUUGUCAGUAAACAAGGGUGUAUUCCCGAAAGCACUGAGGCCUUCCUAUCAAAAAUCCUUAACCCAGUAACCUGUGGAUGGCCCAGAUGCACUCAAUCUGUAAGCAACUGCUUUGCUAACAGAAGAAAGUAAAAAAAAUAACUUUAAGAGGAAACCUCAUUGUGAGCACAUCUCACCAGUUCAGAAGUAUCCUAAGGAAAAAAAAAAAGGAUGAUUUAACAUUAACCACUGAAAAUUCCCUUAACCCAGCAGGUUUCGUAACAGGGGAUCUAAAUCUUAAUUACCAUACAAAGGUCUGACCAGACCUAGGAGGAGCUCCCUUCAGGACAGGACAAUCGAUGGUUCCUCCCAGGUACCACCCCUAGAAUUUCCAGUAAACCAGCACCAGCCUGAAGAUCACCUUCUCAUCAAAGGGUGGAAAGAAGAAAUACUCGAGCCAGCCUGGGAAGGACCCUACCUUGUGCUGUUAACCACUGAUACUGCCGUUCGUAGAGCGGAAAAGGGAUGGACUCAUCACACCCAAGUCAAAGCGCCCCCACCUCCAGAGUCGUGGGCCACAGUCCGAGGGGAAAACCUUACCAAACUAAAGCUAAGAAAAAUUUAACUCUUUCAUCUAUUCUAUUAUUCUUUCUUCUUCCCUCGCUCUAUUGCUGACCAUCUAGUUAUUAACAUAACCAAGUCAAUUUCACCUCAAACUAUUGCAUUUAAUGCUUGCCUUGUUAUACCCUGUGGGGACCUGCCAAAUCAAAGACAGCUCUCUACUUCAGAAAAGUACCUCUGUCCCUCCUGACUCUCCUCAGACUGGGCAUUAGUAAAUUAGGACCAUUUAAUCCGGGGAAAUUUCGAUAAAGACCCCAGUGUCAACCAGGAUUCUUGCCCCACAAUGUAGAGCUUUUAUGCCGUAGUUGGUCCAACGUUCUGUGGACCACUAAAGAGCAAGGAUGGACUGCCCCAACCAGUUUUUGUACUUUCCUAAAAUCAUACAUUCAUUUUACUAGAGGAUCAUAAAAGUUAGACUUAAAACAAACUUUGGCAAUUAAAACAGGAUACCAAGAUGCAAAUGCCUGGUUGGAAUGGAUCAAAUAUCCCAUCUGCCCGUUAAACAAAAGCAAUUAUUAUGCUUGUGCACAUGGCAGGCCAGAGGCCCAGACUGUCCCCUUUCCACUAAGGUGGUCCUCCAGUCGACCAGGCGUGGGCUGCAUGGUAGCUCUCUUCCAGGAUUCUACAGCCUGGAGUAAUAAGUCGUGCCAAGCUCUCUCUGCUAUAUCCCAAGUCCAGCGCACCUUGCAGGUCAGUCCCCGAGGGCCAUCCAGCCUCCAUCUUCCAAGACUAAGUUCACUUCGUGUCUCUCAUGACAGGGAGGAAACUUAGCAUUCCUUGGAGACCUGAAGGGAUGCAGUGAGCUUGAGAAUUUUCAAGAGCUUAUCAAUCAGUCAGUUGGCUCUUGUUCAUCCCCGAGCGGAUGUGUGGUGGUAUUGUGGUGAACCUUUACUGGGCACUCUGCCGAAUAACUGGAGUGGCACUUGUAUUUUAGUCCAAUUAGCUAUCCCUUUCAACCUGACAUUUCAUCAACCAGAGGGAGGAAAAAUAAGACAUCAUGCGAGAGAAGCCCCUUAUGGGUCUUUCAACUCUCACAUCUAUUUAGACACAAUUGGAGUCCCAUGGGGAAUACCUGAUCAAUUUAAAGCUUGAAAUCAAAUAGAGGCAGGAUUUGAGUCAAUAUUUUGGUGGGUGACAGUUAAUAAAAAUGUAGAUUGGAUAAACUACAUCUAUUACAACCAACAGCAACAAGCUUUUCAUGAGUUAAAAGAAAAACUCAUGUCGGCCCCAGCCCUGGGGCUACCUGACCUGACAAAACCCUUUACACCCUAUGUGUCAGAAAGAGAAAAAAAUCGCAGUUGGAGUUUUAACCCAAACUGUGGGGCCCUGGCCAAGGCUAGUGGUCUAUCUCUCAAAACAACUAGAUGGGGUUUCCAAAGGCUGGCCCCAUGUCUAAGGGCCCUGGCAGCAAUGGCCCUAUUAGCAAAAGAAGCAGAUAAACUAACCCUUGGGCAAAACCUGAAUAUAAAGGCACCCCAUACUGUGGUAACUUUAAUGACUACCGAAGGACAUCAUUGGUUAACAAAUGCCAGAUUAACCAAGUACCAAAGCUUGCUAUGUGAAAAUCCCCGCAUAACCAUUGAAGUUUGCAACACCCUAAACCCCACCACCUUGCUCCCGGUAUCAGAGAGCCCAGUUGAACAUAACUGUGUAGAGGUGUUGGACUCAGUUUAUUCUGGCAGGCCCAACCUCCAAGACCAUCCUUAAACAUCAGUAGACUGUGAGCUGUACGUGGACGUGAGCUUCACCAACCCCUGCAAAAUGACUCUGAAAAAGACGACAAGCCCUGCUCCAGUCACACCCGGAAGCUGACUGGUCCACGAACGGCCGAAGCAUGAGAAAACUCAUCGCGGGACUCAUUUUCCUUAAAAUUUGGACUUGUACAGUAAGGACUUUAACUGACCUUCCUCAGACUGAGGACUGUUCCCAGUGUAUACAUCGUCACUGAGGUAGGACAAAAAGUUGCUACUCCUAUCAUUUUAUGGUUAUUAUAAGUGUGCCAGGACUCUAAAAAGAACUUGUUUGUAUAACGCUAUUCUAUACCAGGUAUGUAGCCCAGGAAAUGACCAAUCUGAUGUGUGUUAUGACCCAUCUGAGCCUCCCAUGACCACAGUUUGUGAAAUAAGAUUAAGGACUGAGGACUGGUGGGGGCUCAUAAACGAUACAAGCAAAGUGUUAGCCAAAACAAAAGAAAAAGGGGUGCCCAAACAAGUCACCUUGAAGUUUGAUGCCUGUGCUGUCAUUAAUAGUAAUAAGUAAGUUAGGAAUAGGCUGUGGUUCUCUUAAUUAGGAAAGAGGCUAUAUGGCAGAAAAUAAGUACAUUUGUCAUGAAUUAGGACUGUGUGGAAAUGAACAUGGAUACUGGUCUUGUGUCAUUUAGGCUACUUAGAUAAAAAAUAAAAAGAAUCCUGUCCACCUUCAGAAAAAAAAAUGAAUGAAAUAGUCUCUACCCUCAAGGAGCUCAGAGUCUUAUUUAGGAGACAGACAUGGAAACACACGUUAAUGUUAAAAGUACCAUAUAAGUGGAUGUAGAACACAUAAAUUAUCAUGCCCCUAACACCAUCAGCCUGUUUUAUAAUUGUGUAUUUACAUGUCUUUCCAUCUCUACUAGAUCAUAAGCUCCUUAAAAUUACUCCAUUUGUUUCACCUUUGCAUGCUGGUGUGCAUGCAAACACACACAUGCGCACGCACACACACACACACACACCCCAGGAGCCAGCUGAGGACUCUAAGUAAACACUUGAUAAAUAUAUGCUCUUCUUUAUCUGGAAAGGUGACAAUUUUGAUUUACCAUUAGGUAAAUCAAGAUGUACUAGUUGUGGAUGGGGCUAUCUAGGUGAACACCGUGCACAUGUACACACAUGGAUUUUGUUAGGGGCAAUCUUUGAACUUGGUGUAUGUCAUAGAAAGAAAAAUAUUAACAAAUUUUUCAGAUGAACAUCAAUGAUUCAAUGCAAACUCUUCAUCACAAUGAAUAUAAUCACAAUGCAUUUCCUCUAACUUAGAAAAGGUUUCAUUAAGAUGCAUUUUGAAGGGGGAUAACACAAUUUUUUUCAAUGUAGCUCGAGAAGAGGCUUUAGUUAGGGAGUGAAGAUCAAGAGAGAAAUUACGGAUUCCUUUUAUUCCUCUUCAUAGCCAAAUCAAUAUCCUCAUAACCUGGUGCUGCCUCACUCUACCCCUACAAUCCAUCAGUAGAUCUUAUUAAUCCAACUCCAAAAUCUGUCUCACACCUGUUGAUUUCUCUUCAUCUCUACUGCCACUAACCUUACUUCAGACAAACAUCAUUUCCCAUAUGAAAUUUUGUAAUGGCUUUCUAGUAGGUCUCCUGUUUCCUCCUCUUGCCUCACUCAAAUCCACUCCCUAAACUUUACUCAGAGGGAUCUUUCUAAAGCACAAAUCCAGUUAUACUGCAUUUUGAUUUAAAAAAAAAAUCCCUUAAUGGCUUACUAUUGCCUUCAAGAUAAAAAUUCAAACUCUAUAUAUGCUUAGUACACCACAGUAGUAAGGCUCCACUUACAUCUUGAGGCUCAUCUCUCUAUAUGUCAGCCAUAUAAAAUAAUUUCCAAUAUUCUCCAGUGCUAGCCCAGUGUCAGGCACAAAGCGAAUAGUGUUGCUGUUGCAGUGACAGUAACUACUACUACUACUGCCAAUAAUAGCAUCUGUCAUUUAAUAAAUACUGUAUAUACCAAGUGUGCUAAAUGCUAUAAUUUAUGUAGUCCUUACAACUCUCCUAUGAGGUGGCAAUUAUUAUUCUGUUUUUAAAAUGAGAAAACAAACUUACUUAGAGUGGUAAAAAGUCACACAUUUAUUAAAUGGUGGAGCCAUUCUAAUACUAAUUCUUACUAAGUGUUUUCUGGAUGUCAGGCACUGUACUAUGUACUUUGUAUGUAUUGUCUAAUUUAAUACAACAAUCACUUAUAUUUCAAGAAACCAAGGCAUGCAAUAAUUUCUGUAGAAUGAAUAAAGCCCUAAUCCAAGUCUUUGA